UCAGUUCAGAGAGCGAUGGUUUGAGAAAAACGUGCGAAAUUUCCCGGGAAGAGAGUGAGUACAAAUGGCCUGCUUGCCGUUGGACUGAGCUCGACGUGACUUGAUGCGCCGGCCAGGAAGUUACAAGGUAUUGGAACGUACAGACUUAAUCGGUAUGUGCGUGCAACUAUCGCCAACCUGACAGCACCGAGAACCGUGUUGAUUUAUACGCGGAGCGUCCGGCGUUGAUACAAAACCGAAGAAAAUGAAAAUGGAUAUUAAAUACAUGGGUGUGCAUGACACAGCGGAGCGGAGAAGAUGAAUCCAGGCAGAAUUGAAGGAAAACUCGGCGCACCGGUGAUGUUCCAUGUGACGUGAUGGAAGGGGGGACACCGCGCAGUUACUUGCCAGAUGAGGUCAUUAAUUACUGCGAUGGAUUCGCAAACAUUGAGGCAGCACGAUUGGGACGAGUCUUCUUUCUUCCCUUCCCCUUUUUUAUUUCUCCUUGUAUCUGCCCUCCCCUGACUGUCUCUCCACGGGGCUCUGUCAUGGCGGCGGCGCCUCAGUACCGCGGCGUCACUGCGGGUUUCCUUGAGUCUGUGGAGACGAUGCAUCAAUGCAAAAGACCAGGCGGGGAAAAAAGGGUUGAAUAAAAACAGCCCGGAGUUGGAUAUAGAGUUUUUGGUUUGUGAAUUGGAAACAUGACGAGGAGAGAGAUUGAGUCAAGGUCACCGCGUCUACGCGCUGACGAGAGGAAAUGAGAGGAUGUUAUUUUAGCUGAAUUAUUUCGGCCCAUAAUUAUCGAUGUUUUUCCUCCUUUGGGGGAAGUUUUCAGUGUUGCUCUAUAGUGAUUAAGCCGCUGAAGGUUUGCUGAAUCAUGCGCGCAAUAAUGGACUGAUGUGCAUCUGGCAAGAUUUCUGUUCAAAUCUGAACGAAAGAAAUAAAAGUGUGCUUCAA